rnacentral:rRNA from 1 species
AACAACUCACCUGCCGAAUGAAUUAGCCCUGAAAAUGGAUGACGCUUAAGCGGACAGCCGACACCACGUCGUCUGAUCAAAGUGGUAACCAGAUGAGUAGGAGGGCGUGGCGGUCGUAUGGAAGCGUCGGUGCGAACCGGCGUGAAACGGCCGCUAGUGCAGAUCUUGGUGGUAGUAGCAAAUAUUCAAGUGAGAUCCUUGAAGGACGAAGCGGGGAAGGGUUCCACGCGAACAUUGAUUGAGCGUGGGUGAGUCGUUCCUAAGCCGAGUGGUCAUAGCUAAUUACCGGCGAAAGGGAAGCAGGUUGACAUUCCUGCACACGGAUGUGGAGGCGGUGACGCCGUAUUGAGGUGAUGACGUUGGCAGUGGCUCUGGGCAGAGUUUUCUUUUCUGUUUGACCGUCAAUGUGCGCUGUGUGGAAUCCGCUUGUCGGGAGAAACACGCGUGCACGGGCAGAGCGCCGGGGCUUUUCCGGCGUCCAGAUCGCCACUGACGACCCUUGAAAAAUCACCCGCUGAUUUAUACAAUCCACGCCGUGGCGUACCGAUCACCGCAUCAGGUCCCCAAGGUGAACAGCCUCUGUUCAAUAUGAAAAAUGCAGGUAA